GAUCCUGGCUCAGGACGAACGCUGGCGGCACGCUUAACACAUGCAAGUCGAACGGAGAAUAUCGAAGCUUGCUUUGAUAUUCUUAGUGGCGGACGGGUGAGUAACACGUGAGGUAACCUGCCUCUGAGAGUGGGAUAGCUUCUGGAAACGGAUGGUAAUAACCGCAUGAAAUCAUAGUAUCGCAUGGUACAAUGAUCAAAGAUUUUAUCGCUCAGAGAUGGACUCG
rnacentral:rRNA from 1 species